ACCUCCACACCUGCCCCAUCUGCAGCAGGUGGAUGACCGUCUGCCAGAUCCACACGGAGAGGCGGCACAGGCGCUGCGCCCCUGGCGUCGCAGGGCCGCCGCGGCCGUAGCCGGCCCCCAUCAUGGGGGGACCCCGGCUGCUGAGCCCCUCCACGGCGCCCAGCCCGCCGCCCGUGUAGUCCUGCACGAACCAGCGGAAGCUCAGGCUCUGCACCAGCAGCGACGGCACCAGCACGAAGAAGAGGGUCAGCCCGAAGUAGCCGUAGUCCCCCUUGCGGUAGUAGUCGAGGGCCAGCCACAGGUCGGUGCCCACGUCCCCGAAGAAGACCAGCAGCGCCAGCACGAUCCACAGGCAGUCGAGCCACGGCCGCUCCACCUGCGGCGGCGCGGCCGAGGGCGUCGGGUAGCGGUCGGCGUCGGCGGCCGCGGGCGGCUGCAGCGGCUGGUCCCCCCCGUCGGCGGCGGCGGCGGCGCGCUGCGGCGCGGCUUCUUGCCCAGGAGGGAGCGCAGGCAGGCGGAGCGGCAGCCCCAGUAGCACGAGGAGGUGUUGCAGCAGUGGCAGAUGUGCAGCGAGCUGCUCUCGCCGGGCUCGUCGCCGCCGCCGCCGCCGCCGCCGCCGCAGCCGCCUCCCCCGGGCUCCCCGUCCUCCUCGCCGCCACUGCCCACCGCCUCGUCCAGGUUGUGCAGCUGGGCGAAGCCCACCCCCACGCCACCGCCAUCGGAUUUCGCCGCCAUCUUGACUCUCUUCCCAGCUCCGGAGGAACUGUGACUUGAUUCUAACCCAUAGAAUACGGCAAAGGCAACGUCAUGUCGCUCUCCUGGAUUACACUGCAUUAGAUAAGACUCUAUCAUAGCAGUCUGGAGCUGAAGACUCUCUUUGUGGGCUGGAUGAAGCCAGCAGCCGCGUUGGAGGAGCCCAGGUGACAAGGUGACCUCUAGAACUGGGAACCCACCUCCUAACAACAGCAAGAAGCUGGGACCCUCAGUAAUAUAACCCCAAGGAAAUGAUUUCUACCAACUUGAAUGACCUGGGUAGCAGAUUCUUCCCCAGCUGAGCCUCCAAAUGAGAAUGUGUCCCAGCCAACAGCUUGAUUAUAGGAGUGUGAGAGCCGAGCAGAGGACCCAGCCAAGCUGUGCCUGAACUCCUGCCCAACAGAAACUGUGAGAUAAUAAAUAUGUGUUGUUUUAAG
rnacentral:lncRNA from 1 species